UACGUAGGCAGCAAGCGUUGUUCGGAGUUACUGGGCGUAAAGGGUGCGUAGGCGGCUCUAUAAGUAUGGUGUGAAAUCUCCCGGCUUAACUGGGAGGGUGCGCUAUAGACUGUGGGGCUAGAGUGUGGGAGAGGAAAGUGGAAUUCCUGGUGUAGCGGUGAAAUGCGUAGAUAUCAGGAGGAACACCGGUGGUGUAGACGGCUUUCUGGACCGUAACUGACGCUGAGACACGAAAGCGUGGGUAGCAAACAGG
rnacentral:rRNA from 1 species